AUUAACUAAAAGUGGAUCCUAUUGAAAUUUGGGCUCAAAAUUCACCCAUUUCAACCAUUUUUCCAAUACUUCCAUGGCCCACGCUCAAGAGAAAACGGAUAGUGAGGGCUGCUAAUCUUGCCGAUUCUGGACAUUCAAUUUCAACGUCUUCACAUCAACAUUGCAAGGUAAAAGCUUAAUCUCCACAGUUAGGGCAAGUUUACUCAUUCUUUUAAGAGUUAUGUACUGAAUUGAGGAGUUGGGAAAAUUAGGCUUGGUUUUUCUGACUCGAUUGAUGCGGUUUAUGCUUGUAAUUAAACAUGAAUUCGCUCUUCCCUCUUUGAUUUUAUAGGUGUAGACAGGGUGUACGCAAAAAUGACAGAGAAAAGAACGAGUGUUGGAUUUUACUGUAGCUUUUAUUGAUGUAACUGAUAGUAUUUUAAACCCAGCUUUUGCUAUGGAAUAGAAACAUGCUAUUAUUAGUCUCUACAUUGUGUUCUUGUUCUUGAUUCCUUUCCUUGCCUGAUAUUUUCUACCAGUAAAAGCUGUCCACAAUAAAUUCUCAAUGAAAUCUUGAAAUAUGCUUGCAGGUGAAUAAUGCAGGUAUUUGGAAGCCUAAAAACCCACUUAUACUUUACAGGUAUUUAUGUUGGGAAAAAAGGAUGAGAAUUUUGGGAGGGUAUGUUUGUCUUUGUGUAAUAGUUAAAUGUUCAUAAGAGAUUACACAUGUUUAGAACCUUUACAAGAAAGGAAAACAAAAUUGCCUAUUUUAUAAUAAAAUAAUUGGAAUUUGUUUUGUAUCUUUAGGCAAGGGUAUUCACCCCAAGAAUGAGUAAUCCACUGUUUCACGAGAAUAGCAAAAUUACACCUGAAGCACAUGUUAUUAUGCAUUUUAAAGGAUAAACUAAUAGUCCACUACAUUAGGUUUCAAGCUUUAUUUGCUAGUAUUGCUCCUAUCAUCUACUUAAUUGCUAAAAGAGUCCUGUCCUGUGGUAGAUUUUGUUUACUAGGUAUAGGCAGGCCAUCGAAAAUGUGAGCAAUUUUUCAGAAAAUAGUCAUUUUUGUAGACUUUUUUCUUGUAUGGUUGGAAACAUUCAUCACCACCAAAUACAGCAGUAUAAGGAAUCCGUUUGGACAAUGAUUGAUGUCCAAAGAGGAAGGGGAAGAGAUUGAUAAGACUGGUGUUGAGGUUUGUGGCAUUGAUCUGGUCAUGACCUAAGCAGGGGUGUCGAAGGUUAAGGCCGUCAAACGUAGAAAAGGUUUGAUUUGCGCCAAUUUUAGUAUCCUUUAACCUGCAUUAAGGGUGCACUUGUGGCAUUACAAUGAAGUCGACUACCACAAUGAAAGUUAAUUCAAAAUCAUAAGCCACUUCAAUUUUCACAAUGUUACUUAUUGUUGGUUAUUACUUUCUUAAAUGGGUUGUGGUGGACUUGAAAUUUUUGCAGUAGUUCUUAUUGUCUGUGGACUUCAAAAGUGAUUGCAAUUUUGUUGUCUCUUAACUUUACAUUGGAAAAAAAUAAUAUUAACUUAAUCUUACAUAGAGGAUAAUGUUAAGACCAAUAAAGUGAUGUUAAGGGUGCUGAUCCAGUUGCUGGUGCAGAUGACCGUGUUAUUAUUAUUUCAUCUAAUGAGGUACAUGAUCUCCCUCUCUCUUAACUUUAUAUGUAGCGUAGUUCUAGUUAGCGUGUUCUUCCAGCAAUUUGAGUUUCUACAUUUUGUUUAAGGUUUAUGCCUUAAAUUUGAACAUCUUAAGUGUAUACUAAGGAUUAGUGAUGGCAACGGGGCGGGGUAAAUUGCCAUCCCUAAGGAUUAAAGAUGGAGUUUGGCUUUAUGUGUUUUCCAAAAUGUCAUCUAAGCUGUUUCACUUGUAUGUCAUUUUUAGGGUCUUGAUGAUGAGAUGGGUUUACUUCUUUUGAUUCACUGUAUGUCCCCUCAAAUGUUACAAAAGCCUUAAUUACUUAACUAAAAUUAAAAAUCUGCACCUCUUAUCAGUGAUGCUAAUUUUUCUCAUACCAGUAGGCUAAAUCAAGCUUUCAGUUGCAAAAGCUGGAUUUGAGGGUUUUCAGAGGUAUUAACUCGUGAUUUGAAUGAAAUUACUAGAUGGAUAUCUUGUUUGUCAUCUUACUGAAUUCUUGCAAGAUUAAUUAUGAAAGUUUGCUUGUUUUUAAAUUAAAGAAUUUUAGUUUGACUUUUCUUGUUUGUUUUUUCCAUUUUCAAUAAGCAAGUGUCCUAUUUGGCAUCGAAAGAGGAAUUGAAAAAAUAAAGCGACCUGACUUACCAAGACCUGCUGAAGAGGCUCUUGCUCUCGAGGCAGAGGAAGCUAAUCAAGAAGCAUAAUUUCGAUGUACACAAGUUCGUGGAAUUACAGAAGAAAUGCAAAUUACCUGUGCACACGUGUCCCUCUCAAAAAGCAGAUGGGCAUAGUAGAAGAACCAGAGGAUCUUUUACCUGGCCAUUGAAACCAUGUAGUUGCUGCAGCUUCUUCAAUCUUACAUUUUAAAUAUAUUUAGUUUCGGAGUCAACCAAAAGCUCCCAUUUUCUUUGAGGGGGACUCAUAUUUCUUACAAUUUGUAUAUCCUGCAUCUCUUGAGAAGUCUUACUAUUUUUUAUAUAGGGAGUUGUACAAAGAGCCUACUGGAGAUGCAGAAUCUCAAGGAAAAUCAUCAGUGUGGAAAAAUUUGAAGUCUCUUGGAAAUAAUAUCAUUGUUGGCUGGAGGACACUUUUAACUUCUUCUCGAGAAGAUCACUGGAGAUUAGAAGUUCUCCAUUCCAGCAUUGAGGAGGCCGAUGGGUGGUUUUACUCACUACUUAGUUUGUGAUUUUUUUUUAUUUUUUAUUUUAUUUUGGGAAAAUGUAUUGAAUUUUUAGGUGUUUUAGAAUUUUGGAUCUGAAUUUUGUACAGAUAUUGUUACAUUUUGGAGUUCAAUUAAUAAUGAUUAUCGGAGUUAUUUGAUAUAGUUA
rnacentral:lncRNA from 1 species